CGUUGAGGCGGGUCUGUAAGUUGGACGUGAAAGCUCCUGGCUCAACUGGGAGAUGUCGUUCAAUACUGCAGAGCUUCAGGGCAGCAGAGGGGGGUGGAAUUCCCGGUGUAGUGGUGAAAUGCGUAGAGAUCGGGAGGAACACCAGUGGCGAAGGCGGCCCCCUGGGCUGCUCCUGACGCUGAAGGCGAAAGCUAGGGGAGCGAACG
rnacentral:rRNA from 1 species